AGCCUACGGGGGGCUGCAGUGGGGAAUAUUGGGCAAUGGGCGCAAGCCUGACCCAGCAACGCCGCGUGAAGGAAGAAGGCUUUCGGGUUGUAAACUUCUUUUCUCAGGGACGAAGAAAGUGACGGUACCUGAGGAAUAAGCCACGGCUAACUACGUGCCAGCAGCCGCGGUAAUACGUAGGUGGCAAGCGUUAUCCGGAUUUACUGGGUGUAAAGGGCGUGUAGGCGGGACUGCAAGUCAGAUGUGAAAACCACGGGCUCAACCUGUGGCCUGCAUUUGAAACUGUAGUUCUUGAGUACUGGAGAGGCAGACGGAAUUCCUAGUGUAGCGGUGAAAUGCGUAGAUAUUAGGAGGAACACCAGUGGCGAAGGCGGUCUGCUGGACAGCAACUGACGCUGAGGCGCGAAAGCGUGGGGAGCAAACAGGAUUAGAUACCCGUGUAGUCGU
rnacentral:rRNA from 1 species